AUGCAAGUCGAGCGCGAAGCACUUCGGUGUGAGUAGAGCGGCGGACGGGUGAGUAACGCGUAGGAAUCUACCUAGUAGUGGGGGACAACUCGGGGAAACUCGAGCUAAUACCGCAUAAGCCCUACGGGGGAAAGCGGGGGACCUUCGGGCCUCGUGCUAUUAGAUGAGCCUGCGUUGGAUUAGCUAGUUGGUGGGGUAAAGGCCUACCAAGGCGACGAUCCAUAGCUGGUCUGAGAGGAUGAUCAGCCACACCGGGACUGAGACACGGCCCGGACUCCUACGGGAGGCAGCAGUGGGGAAUAUUGCGCAAUGGGCGAAAGCCUGACGCAGCCAUGCCGCGUGUGUGAAGAAGGCCUUCGGGUUGUAAAGCACUUUCAAUUGGGAGGAAAGGUUCACGGUUAAUAACCGUGAGCUGUGACGUUACCUUAGAAGAAGCACCGG
rnacentral:rRNA from 1 species